rnacentral:rRNA from 1 species
UUCCGUUAGGGGGGCCUGCGGAGGGAUCAUUACCGAGUUUACAACUCCCAAACCCCUGUGAACAUACCAAUUGUUGCCUCGGCGGAUCAGCCCGCUCCCGGUAAAACGGGACGGCCCGCCAGAGGACCCCUAAACUCUGUUUCUAUAUGUAACUUCUGAGUAAAACCAUAAAUAAAUCAAAACUUUCAACAACGGAUCUCUUGGUUCUGGCAUCGAUGAAGAACGCAGCAAAAUGCGAUAAGUAAUGUGAAUUGCAGAAUUCAGUGAAUCAUCGAAUCUUUGAACGCACAUUGCGCCCGCCAGUAUUCUGGCGGGCAUGCCUGUUCGAGCGUCAUUUCAACCCUCAAGCCCCCGGGUUUGGUGUUGGGGAUCGGCGAGCCCUUGCGGCAAGCCGGCCCCGAAAUCUAGUGGCGGUCUCGCUGCAGCUUCCAUUGCGUAGUAGUAAAACCCUCGCAACUGGUACGCGGCGCGGCCAAGCCGUUAAACCCCCAACUUCUGAAUGUUGACCUCGGAUCAUGUAAGAUUACCCGCUGAACUUAAGCAUAUCAAAU